rnacentral:rRNA from 1 species
AAGCGCUCAUGACCAGACUUGCGCCCUGCGGAUCAGCCAGCGUUCUCGCUGGUGCCUCUGCAGGGCCCAGGCCAGCAUCGGUCUCAGCGGGGGGAUAAAGGUGGAGGGAACGUGGCUCCCCCGGGAGUGUUAUAGCCCUCUGCAGAAUACCGCCGCCGGGACCGAGGACCGCGCUACGGCAAGGAUGCUGGCGUAAUGGUCAUCAGCGA